UGAGGAAUAUUGGUCAAUGGACGCAAGUCUGAACCAGCCAUGCCGCGUGAAGGAUGAAGGCCUUCUGGGUUGUAAACUUCUUUUAUCUGGGAAGAAAACUACGGUUUCUACUGUAGCCGACGGUACCAGAGGAAUAAGCACCGGCUAACUCCGUGCCAGCAGCCGCGGUAAUACGGAGGGUGCAAGCGUUAUCCGGAUUUACUGGGUUUAAAGGGUGUGUAGGCGGGUCUUUAAGUCAGUGGUGAAAUCUCCGAGCUUAACUUGGAAACUGCCAUUGAUACUAUUGAUCUUGAAUUCUGUUGAGGUAGGCGGAAUAUGUCAUGUAGCGGUGAAAUGCAUAGAUAUGACAUAGAACACCAAUUGCGAAGGCAGCUUACUAAGCAAAUAUUGACGCUGAGGCACGAAAGCGUGGGGAUCAAACAGGAUUAGAUACCCCCGUAGUCC
rnacentral:rRNA from 1 species